UAAAAACGACUCUCGGCAACGGAUAUCUCGGCUCUCGCAUCGAUGAAGAACGUAGCGAAAUACGAUACUUGGUGUGAAUUGCAGAAUCCCGCGAACCAUCGAGUCUUUGAACGCAAGUUGUGCCCGAAGCCAUUAGGUCGAGGGCACGUCUGCCUGGGCGUCUCAC
rnacentral:rRNA from 1 species